UGCCACGCGGCGGGGUUUGCGCGCCGCAGCGGCCGGCGCGGGUUGUGCGCGGCCCGCGGCGAGCAUCUCGUCGGCGUGGCGGC
rnacentral:tRNA from 1 species